rnacentral:snRNA from 1 species
AAAAUUACAUUCGCACUUGACGU